rnacentral:lncRNA from 1 species
GUCCAGACUGCAGCAAGGGGAGAGAGAGCUCCAGGAAGGAUAUCUUCCAAAAAAGGGUUUACGCUGGCAGAACAUAUGGAGAGGAGAUUUCCAUUUCUGAAGCAGGGUUUGGGAUGAUUUCAGUAGAGGCACAGUCUCGCUCUGUCACCCAGGCUGGAGUGAAGUGGUCCAAUCUCAGCUCGCUGCAACUUCUGCCUCCCAGGUUCAAGCAAUUCUCUGCCUCAGCCUCCUGAGUAGCUGAGAUUACAGAUGUGCUUGCUUCACCUUAGCCCUUCUGCCAUGAUUGU